GAUGAACGCUGGCGGCGUGCCUAAUACAUGCAAGUCGAGCGAAUGGAUUAAGAGCUUGCUCUUAUGAAGUUAGCGGCGGACGGGUGAGUAACACGUGGGUAACCUGCCCAUAAGACUGGGAUAACUCCGGGAAACCGGGGCUAAUACCGGAUAACAUUUUGAACCGCAUGGUUCGAAAUUGAAAGGCGGCUUCGGCUGUCACUUAUGGAUGGACCCGCGUCGCAUUAGCUAGUUGGUGAGGUAACGGCUCACCAAGGCAACGAUGCGUAGCCGACCUGAGAAGGUGAUCAGCCACACUGGGACUGGGACACGGCCCAUACUCCUACGGGAGGCAGCAGUAGGGAAUCUUCCGCAAUGGACGAAAGUCUGACGGAGCAACGCCGCGUGAGUGAUGAAGGCUUUCGGGUCGUAAAACUCUGUUGUUAGGGAAGAACAAGUGCUAGUUGAAUAAGCUGGCACCCUGACGGUACCUAACCAGAAAGCAACGGCUAACUACGUGCCAGCAGCCGCAGUAA
rnacentral:rRNA from 1 species